rnacentral:rRNA from 1 species
UACGGAGGGUGCAAGCGUUACCCGGAAUCACUGGGCGUAAAGGGCGCGUAGGCGGCUCAUGAAGGCUGUGGUGAAAGUCCGGGGCUCAACCUCGGAUCGGCCGUGGCGACUCGUGGGCUGGAGCACUGUAGAGGCGGGUGGAAUUCCUGGUGUAGCGGUGGAAUGCGCAGAUAUCAGGAGGAACACCAAUGGCGAAGGCAGAUCUCUGGGCCGUAACUGACGCUGAGGAGCGAAAGCGUGGGGAGCAAACAGG